AUUGAACGCUGGCGGCAUGCCUUACACAUGCAAGUCGAACGGUAACAGGUUAAGCUGACGAGUGGCGAACGGGUGAGUAAUACAUCGGAACGUGCCCAGACGUGGGGGAUAGCUCGGCGAAAGCCGGAUUAAUACCGCAUGUGCUCUGAGGAGGAAAGCGGGGGAUCGCAAGACCUCGCGCGUUUGGAGCGGCCGAUGGCAGAUUAGGUAGUUGGUGGGGUAAAGGCUUACCAAGCCUACGAUCUGUAGCUGGUCUGAGAGGACGACCAGCCACACUGGGACUGAGACACGGCCCAGACUCCUACGGGAGGCAGCAGUGGGGAAUUUUGGACAAUGGGCGAAAGCCUGAUCCAGCAAUGCCGCGUGCAGGAUGAAGGCCUUCGGGUUGUAAACUGCUUUUGUACGGAACGAAAAGGCGCCUACUAAUACUGGGCGUUGAUGACGGUACCGUAAGAAUAAGCACCGGCUAACUACGUGCCAGCCGCCGCGGUAAAAC
rnacentral:rRNA from 1 species